rnacentral:rRNA from 1 species
UACGGGGGGGGCAAGCGUUGUUCGGAAUUACUGGGCGUAAAGGGCGCGUAGGCGGCCUACUAAGUCGGACGUGAAAGCCCUCGGCUCAACCGAGGAACUGCGCUUCAAACUGUAGAACUAGAGGGAGAUAGAGGUGAGCAGAACUGAUGGUGGAGCGGUGAAAUGCGUUGAUAUCAUCAGGAAUACCGGAGGCGAAGGCGGCUCACUGGGUCUCUUCUGACGCUGAGGAACGAAAGCUAGGGGAGCAAACGGG